rnacentral:snoRNA from 1 species
GGUCAGUGAUGAGCAGUAAAAGGUCUGAUUACCCACAAUCCCCUCCUGCCGUCCUCUGGCUCCCAGCAGCCCCUGCUCUCUGCUCCCAUCAUGCUCUAGUGGUUCAGUGGUGGUCCCAGGAGCUGCUGACACUAACAGGAUGUGACAUCACAGAGUCUGUACAGAGAAACUACAGGCUCAGUGAUGAUGACUGACAUCCAACAAAACCAAUCAGCACGGAGCAUCAGGCGGAGGAGGAGGAGGGAGCUGAUCACAAGUUUUCAACCUGAGACC